rnacentral:rRNA from 1 species
CUGCGGGAGGCUGCAGUGAGGAAUAUUGCACAAUGGGGGGAACCCUGAUGCAGCAACGCCGCGUGGAGGAUGACGCAUUUCGGUGUGUAAACUCCUUUUAUAUGUCAAGAAAAUGACGGUAGCAUAUGAAUAAGCACCGGCUAACUCCGUGCCAGCAGCCGCGGUAAUACGGAGGGUGCAAGCGUUACUCGGAAUCACAUGGGCGUAAAGGACGCGUAGGCGGGUUGGAAAGUCAGGUGUGAAAUCCUACAGCUUAACUGUAGAACUGCACUUGAAACUUCUAAUCUAGAGUAUGGGAGGGGGAGAUGGAAUUAGUGGUGUAGGGGUAAAAUCCGUAGAUAUCACUAGGAAUACCUAAAGCGAAGGCGAUCUCCUGGAACAUUACUGACGCUAAGGCGUGAAAGCGUGGGGAACAAACAGGAUUAGAUACCCGCGUAGUC